UUUGUGUCGCGACCUCUCUUCAAGGGUGGCGAAUUGAUUGGAGGAGUCACCUCCUCUUUGCCGACUUCUUCUUCGUCACCGACCUCUUCCUCAUUGUUUGCAUCCUUUCCAUCAACGUUGGUCAGGUCAUCACCAACCUCCUCAGUCUCCGGCUCGAUUAGGUAUUGCAACUCUAGAGACAAGUCAUCUCCAGGUAGCGGCGGCUUCGACACAAAAUUACUAAAUUCCUACAAGUUCAAGGAAAAUGAGAGUGAGGCCUGCAAUAUAAAGGUGCAAUGGAGGUCAAAUAAACUACUUACAUUUUGAGGAGGGUUGUGCCGCGAGAAUGGCUCAACUCGAACUACG
rnacentral:lncRNA from 1 species